GACGAACGCUGGCGGCGUGCUUAACACAUGCAAGUCGAGCGGAAAGGCCCGGCGCUUGUGGGGUGCUCGUGUGCCGAACACGGGUGUGUAACGCGUGUAACCUGUCCCUUACUGUGGGGGAACUUCACGGGACUGGGGCGAUUAUCCCAUAUGAGCUCUUGCAGCACGGGGUUGAAGGGUGAGAGACGGCCGUGUGGGAUGGAAUCGCGGCUUAGCAGCUAGUUGGUGGGGUAGUGGCGUACCAGGGCUUUGACGGGUAGCCGGCCUGAGAGGGUGACCGGGCACAUUGGGCCUGCGAUAGGGGCCAGACGCGUACGGGAGGCAGCAGUGGGGAACAUUGCAAAAUGGGCGGAAGCCAGAUGCAGCGACGCCGCGUGCGGAAUGCCGGGCUUCGGGUUGUAAACCGAUUUCGACUGUAACGAAGCGUGAGUGACGGUAACGAGUCAAGAAGCACCGGCUAACUACGUG
rnacentral:rRNA from 1 species